CUUCCUUGUCGACCGCCGCCGCGCGCAACCCCGCCAUUUUGUAUUGAGAUAGCGGAAUCAGCGGAUUUGCGAGGUUACAAGUUUGGCGUCUUCAGUGCAGUGUUGUGAUUUUGCAGUGAAAUCUAGUGGGAGCUUGUAUAUUUUGGAUUCACAAUGGUGCCGCAAACGAAGGUGUUCGUCGGCAGCCUGCCCCAGGGCUCCAAGCCGGAGGACCUGCGGAAGCUCUUCGAGCGUUUCGGCGUCGUCACCGAGUGCGACAUCAUGAACAGAUGCGGGUUCGUCCACAUGCAGACCGAGGAGCAGGCGUCGGCGGCGAUCCGCUCGCUGAACAACAGCACGUUCAACGGCGGCGUGAUCACCGUGGAGCGCGGCCGCAUCAAGGAGCGCGGGCAGCGCGGCGGCGGCCGGGGCGGCGGCGCCCGCGGGGGCAUGCGCGGCGGCGGCGACCGGCGCGGCGGCGGCCCGAUGCGGGGCCCGGGCGGAGGCCGCGACGCGCCGUACUCGCGGCCGCCGAUGCGCGCCGGGCCGCCGCCGCACGGGCCGCCGAUGCGCAACGGCAUGGGCGGCGGCUACGACCGCGGCGCGGACCGCGCGAGCGGCUACGACGACCGGUACAACGGCUACGGCUACGGCGGCGAGGACCGGCGCGGCUUCGCGCUGAUGGAGGGCCGCGCGCGGGACCCGUACGCGGCGGCGGCGCCGAUGUACGACGACCGGCGCGGGUACGCGGCGCCGGCGGAGGAGCUGGCGCCGCUGUACGACGACCGGCGCGCGCCCAUGUACGACGAGCGCGAGCUGAUGGACCGGCGCGCGCCCAUGCGGGGCCCCAUGCCCAUGGCGGCGGGCUACGAGCGCGCCGCGCCGCCGCGCCCCAUGGGCAACGGGGACAUGUUCAGCAGACGAUCACCCAUGAGAGGAGGCCCCUCCGGCCCCGCGGGCUACGAGCGGGAUCCGUAUGCGCAGCAGUACCCCCCGAUGGGACGCGGCGGCGGCGGCGCGGCGCGCGGGCGGGAGCUGGGACGGCGCUACUAGCGGCUCUCCAUAGACUUAAGCCGUAGACUAAACGUGACACGAACGAACGACACCCGUAGUUGUCUUCCGGGCGAAUGCGUGCGCUUACGUUGCGGUGCGGUGCGACCGAUCGCGUACUUGUAAAGUAACUGAGAUUAUACGGUAAGGUCGCCUAGAUUAAGUAUCCAUGCAGAUAAUAAAUUAUGUGAAUCACUUUAAAUUUUAAUAAACGAACAUAAUUCUGACGGACAGUUUGAUUUCUCCUGCCGAUGAUAUGAUUUGACAAUAAUAUUUUUGAAAACUCUUUUGGACUAGAUUUGUAUUGAUUAUUAUUAUUAUAAUCUAAGAAAUAAGGUGUUUAUGUUUAAGUUGUACGAUAUUUUACUUUGUAGAUUAAAUUCAUUUUUAAGUAGAA